CCUGAGCCCUUAAGAGACGGGCACGCACGUGCUGGGCUUUCUCUGCGGACGUCAUGGGGUCCUGUCUCUUUCACCCGUGCGGCUGGCGCCUGCCCCGCGGCCUGGUGGAGCCGAGCCUGGUGGGCGCCGAGCCCGGUCUCCCAGCUCCGCCGUGGGCGCCGUGCAGACCCAGGGGAGCCGGGCGCGGUGUUGACGGGGAGUAGGAGCAGGAUUCCGCCAUGAGGUUGGAAGUUUAAAGAGUGGAGGGUUGCCAGCAGUAUGGCCUCACAUAAGGUGUGUGUCCGUUUCCUCAAGAACUGAGUGCUGGAAUGCGGUUUGUGUGGGCAGCAGUGGCAAAGGUGGCUUCUCCCGAGGAGUCCUCAAAAACUCAAGAUCCUGAAAGCAGCCUCUUUAAACCUUGGUAUGAAAGUACUUCAAGGAUGUGUCUGCUGACUCUGCUCUGUGCAAGCACAUUGGUAAUCCUGUCCCACAGGAGCCUCUAUGUCUUUCAAUAAAUUCUAAUUUAAGAAAAUUGA